UACAGAGGUCUCAAGCGUUGUUCGGAUUCAUUGGGCGUAAAGAGCGUGUAGGCGGCUCGGUAAGUCCGCUGUGAAAGACCGGGGCUCAACCCCGGGGUGUCAGCGGGGACUGCACGGCUGGAGUCCCGGAGAGGGAGGCGGAAUACCUGGUGUAGCGGUGGAAUGCGUAGAUAUCAGGUGGAACACCGAUGGCGAAGGCAGCCUCCUGGACGGGUACUGACGCUGAGGCGCGAAAGCGUGGGGAGCGAACGGG
rnacentral:rRNA from 1 species